GAAAUGAGGUCUAGGGACGCGUUUGAAGUUGAGGUACUGAAGCUGUCAAAAUGGUGUUUUGAGGACUACAGGUUUGGGUACUCAAGCGGCACAAAAGGAUGGUUUUAGGCUUGCGAAAUAACGUCGUACUGUUGUUAAAUCUGGUAGUUGAAGUUUCAACUUCAAAUCUGGAAAAUAUGGACAUGUUACGUGUUGCUUUGUUGGUAUUCACAUCUUCACCGGCCAAAAACAUGAAGAUAUUGUUCCUUCUUCUCAUAACUGUCAUGCAUGGUUCCUCAUGUCAAUUGUACUCAUAAACUUGCUAACAGAUCCAAAGGGAUUGGUUGAAAUUGAGGGUCUCUCAGAAGUGCAGAUUUCUGAUUGUGCUAAAGCCAAAUGGCGGUACAACAAAGGAAGAAGAUCCGGAUCAACCUCAUGGACUAAUGUGAAUGAGGCAUCAAGCAUGUCACACUGACGCAGGGAUACUUCGGAGGCCAAAAGCGAAACAAGUAAGUUAUGGAUGGUUGAUCUUGGAGGCAGUGAACGGUAGCUGAAAACCGGGGCCAAAGGACCAACACUUGACGAAGGACGAGCUAUUAAUCUCUCUCUUUCAGCUCUAGCUGAUGUCCUUGCAGCUUUGAAGAGAAAGAGGUGUCAUGUGCC